rnacentral:lncRNA from 1 species
CCCUUCAAGGAUUAAUCAUCAGCACUACUCACCUUUUAUUGUGCCAAAAUUGUAGAAAGAAAAAUCUGCUAAUAUUCUUCCCCUUUUAAAUCCUCUCUACCUGUUUUAUGAUAUUACAUGUUUGUUAUAUCUUUCCUAGAUCCAAAUCCAAACACUCAGAUGUCUCGAAAAGCAGCCGCAGAUCAGACCGAAGAACAUCAAGAGACCGAUCGUCUCGUAGCCGGCGCUCUAGAUCAUCAUCUUACACCAAACGGUCUCGUCGUUCAAGAUCUUCCUCUUCAAGUCGUAGAUCCAGAUCUCGAUCCGUCUCAAAGUAUCGCCGCUCUUACUCUAGAAGUCUUUCGAAAUCUCCCAAACGCUAUCGAUCCAGGUCCAGGAGUAAUAGUCGAUCCAAAAGGUACCGGAAAAAGUCUUACUCAAGAUCCAGAUCCAAAUCGCCGAGAAGGAAAGACAAGAAACAAAAGAAAAAAUCAAAGAAGAAAUCACGGUCCCCGUCUCGAUCAUCAUCUACAUCUUCUAAAUCAUCGAAGUCACCCAGAGAUAAACGUCUUAGUCCAGAGAGCCUUGUUGAAAGGUUGAAGCGAGUGAUUUCAGAUGCAGAUGAUUCGCUCAAGAAGAAGUCUUUUGCCUCCAUAGAUAAUUUAUACAGUGAUUCAGCGCCAAAAAGCGAUGUAUUAAAUGAAAUUAACUCCUCCGGCUUCAAGCCUACUGCUUUUCAACCAAGUGCCUUAAAAGAAAAAUCAGCCCCUAUAAUGGUUGAUUUGACAGAAAAAACCUAUGCUGGAAAUCCUCCUCCUAAAGAUGAUGAAAUGGCAGAUAGUAUAUUUCAUCCAAACUUAUUGCUAGAGAACAAAUCAGACAAGCUUAACAGAUGGGUGAAGAAGCUGUUUGCAUAUCGACAAAAGGCUCUUUUCAAUGGAGAUCUACAAACAUAA